GUAAUAGCUCACUGGUCGAGUCGGCCCGCGCGGAAGAUGUAACGGGGCUAAACCAUGCACCGAAGCUGCGGCAGCGAACGUAUCACUUAAAUUUGUUUGAGUGAAUAACGAUUGACGGAACGAAGUGACGUCAAUGCGUUAAUGAAAGUCGAGGUGAAAGCACGACAAAGCGAAUUUAAGGAUACGUUCGUUGGGUAGGGGAGCGUUCUGUAAGCCUGCGAAGGUGUACUGUGAGGUAUGCUGGAGGUAUCAGAAGUGCGAAUGCU
rnacentral:rRNA from 1 species